rnacentral:rRNA from 1 species
GACGAACGCUGGCGGCGUGCUUAACACAUGCAAGUCGAACGGAAAGGCCCUGCUUUUGUGGGGUGCUCGAGUGGCGAACGGGUGAGUAACACGUGAGUAACCUGCCCUUGACUUUGGGAUAACUUCAGGAAACUGGGGCUCAUACCGGAUAGGAGCUCCUGCUGCAUGGUGGGGGUUGGAAAGUUUCGGCGGUUGGGGCUGGACUCGCGGCUUAUCAGCUUGUUGGUGGGGUAGUGGCUUACCAAGGCUUUGACGGGUAGCCCGCCUGAGAGCGUGGCCGGCCACAUUGGGACUGAGAGAGGGCGCAGACUCCUACGGUAGGCAGCAGUGGGGAAUAUGGCAGAGUGGGGGGAAGUCUGAUGUAGCAACGCCGCGAGCGGGAUGACGUCUUUCGGGUUGUAAACCGCUUUGGCCUGUGACGAAGCGUGAGUGACGGUAAUUGGUAAAGAAGCACCGGCUAACUACGUG